rnacentral:snRNA from 1 species
AGACAUGAGAGCAAUCUGGCUGAGACAUCUGCCACCCUGUUUGUUGCCAGGGUUGAUUCUAAUGAUUUGGCUGACUAGGCAAGUGUCUCCUUCCUCCUGUAAUACUCCAAGUGCGUCCCCCCCCCCCCCCGCCCUCGAAGCUGCAUGCUCAGAGGAAGAGGAUGACCUCUCCUUUUGUCUAAAAUAUAGGAGUAGCUCUGCUCCCUGGCUAGAACCUCCAAAUAAUCUUCAAGGUCCAUUUGUAGGAGAACAUAGGGAAGUCAAGUCUCCAGGACUCCAGACACAUGCAUGUGGCUGGAGAGAAAGAGAGAGAGAAAGGGGGGGGGGGAGUUUUUCUGAUUUUGU